UAUAUGUCUUAGUAAUUAGCACUGUCAACUUGCACCUCCAGGAUCCGGGUUCGAUUCCCACCUUGCUAGGUUUCCUCCAAACACUCCAGUUUUCUCCCACAGUCCAAAGACAUGCAGAUUAUGCUAACUACUGUUUCCGAAUUACCUGUAGUGUGUGUACUGUAUGUGUGCGCCCUGAGAUGGAUUGGCACCUUGUCCAGAGUGUACCCUACCUAGUGCCCCAAGUCUCUUGGGAUUGGCUCCCAGCCCUCCGCAACUCUGUAUCCAGGAUAAAGCAGUAUAGACGAUGGGUCUGACUUCCCCCAACUAGCAUCCGUCAAACCGACAGGAAGUGAAAAAUAUGAGCUGGGCGGAGUGACGGAUAGAGAGAAAGAUGAUCAAUCCAAGCCAGGAUGAUGAGGUCUACACUAUCUAAUGACCGAAAUGAAGUAAAGCUUUAGCCCUUUAAGCCUUGUCACCUCCUCGUCCCUUCAUCUCCGGUGAUCAAACCCUGGAUUUACGACACCUCAUAGCAUCCGGCAGCUCUGUGAUCUCAAAUAUUCCCUCCUCCCUGCACCUGACACUUCCAGCGUGACAGUCUCUCAAGAUAAGAGAAAUCGCUCCGACUGGAUUGAGAGCAGUUAUUCCUGGAGUCGUCUGCGCUGACCCACAUCACAUUCAUCAGCCACGGUGGACCUCCAGUCAGGACCAGCGGCACCUACAACCAGGAGAGGAAACAAGUACUUAAGUCCUGAGCAAACACAGACAAGUCUCAGUCUUACACUGAGUGAUGGAUUGUGUUUAUACACACCACAGUGAUGUUGAAUUCUGGAUCGUGAUCGUUCAGAAUGUCUUGAUUAACUUUGUAGAAAAACAGCUCACAUGUUUAUAUUAAAUUGCACUUGUUUAUCCAUAAAUGGUAACUCCUUCACGCGGAGGCAUUGGUCUCUGCUGUCACUCAAAUAUAAAGCUUUUACUUUGCAACACAUUUUCAA